rnacentral:rRNA from 1 species
ACGCUCGACACCUACGGGGCAGCAGUGGGGAAUAUUGCACAAUGGGGGAAACCCUGAUGCAGCGACGCCGCGUGGAGGAAGAAGGUCUUCGGAUUGUAAACUCCUGUUGUUGGGGAAAAAGAGGAUGGUACCCAACAAGGAAGUGACGGCUAACUACGUGCCAGCAGCCGACGGUAAUCUGAGGCGGGCUGGACAAGGC